AAAAAAAAAAAAACUAGUUUUCCGUAUCCAACGUUUAACUGUCCGUCUUAUAUGAAAUUUUUUUUUAUAAUUAGUAUUUUCAUUAUUGUUAGAUGAUAAAACAUGAUUAAUAUUUUAUGCAUGACUUAUCUUUUUAAAAUUUUUUUAAAUAAGACGGAUGGUCAAUCAUUGGACAAUAAAACUCAGGUUUGUUUUUUUU
rfam:Oryza glumipatula chromosome 1, whole genome shotgun sequence.